rnacentral:rRNA from 1 species
GGGGAAUUUUCCGCAAUGGGCGAAAGCCUGACGGAGCAAUACCGCGUGAAGGAUGAAGGCCUAUGGGUCGUAAACUUCUUUUCUCAGAGAAGAAUUUUGACGGUAUCUGAGGAAUAAGCAUCGGCUAACUCUGUGCCAGCAGCCGCGGUAAGACAGAGGAUGCAAGCGUUAUCCGGAAUGAUUGGGCGUAAAGCGUCUGUAGGUGGUUUCACAAGUCUUCUGUCAAAGAUCAGGGCUUAACCCUGGGCAGGCAGGAGAAACUAUGAGGCUUGAGUUCGGUAGGGGCAGAGGGAAUUCCCGGUGGAGCGGUGAAAUGCGUAGAUAUCGGGAGGAACACCAAAGGCGAAAGCACUCUGCUGGGCCGCGACUGACACUGAGAGACGAAAGCGAGGGGAGCAAAUGGGAUUAGAUACCCCAGUAGUCCUCGCCGUAAACGAUGGAUACUAGGUGUUGGAUGUAUCAAAUCAUUCAGUACCGUAGCUAACGCGUUAAGUAUCCCGCCUAGGGAGUAUGCUCGCAAGAGUGAAAUUCAAAGGAAUUGACGGGGGCCCGCACAAGCGGUGGAGCAUGUGGUUUAAUUCGAUGCAACGCGAAGAACCUUACCAGGAUUUGACAUGUCACUUUUUCCCUGAAAGGGGAAGUUCCAGAGUGAACACAGGUGGUGCAUGGCUUCUCAGCUC